rfam:Ciona savignyi cont_31693, whole genome shotgun sequence.
GGGUUGGCCGAGUGGUUAAGGCGUUGGACUUAAGUUCCAAUGGACAAGUGUCCGCGUGGGUUCGAACCCCACACCC